AAAUUGACCCACUUCUUAUGCAGAAGGAGAUGGAUCUUGAAGAAGCUUACAGAAACAUGAUGUCAUCCAAAUCAAUGUUUUAUGAGAACGAGAAACAUAUAAAUCCAAGUUUAGCAGACUUGGCUGCAAAAGAAAAGGAAGUACAGUAAGAAGAAAGCAUUAUAAGAUCAAAAGAGGAAAAGCUACUUGCAUUGGAGAACGAGCUGAAUCUGGGAGAGUGUGGGGAUCCAGAAACUUGCUUAUGAGCAAAAGGCCACCUUAGAUGGUAAAAUGCUCAGCUUUGAGACUGAAUAGGAAGAGAGGAGGAAAUCUCUUGACAAGGAAUUGAAAAACCAAGAUAGAAGAAAUUGAGCGGAAGGAAGUUGAAAUAAACCAAAUAACAGAAAUUGGCAAAGCGAGAGUCUGCUGUGGAUGCAAAGACGGAGAUUUAAAAAGAAAGAUGAGGACCUUGAGUCAAUGUUGAAAUUAUUAAAAGAGAAGGAGAAGUCCAUGAAAGCUGAGGAGAAGAAAAUUGUGAUUCUAGGUCUUUUUUGUAAAAUUAGAGGGAUUGGAGUUGAUAUUUUUUAGAAGCAGAAAGAAGGAUAAAUUGCUUUGGAGUACGUUGUUCAUUUCCUGGCUAGCAGUUUUGCAUCCAAAUCUCACCUAUUUUUCGAGUGCAGUUGUUCUCAUUGGAUUUGAGUCCCAAUUUUGCAGAUGUGUUUCGUUCAUCGAAGCAUUAGCGAUUGGAACAUUGAACUGUCUUGGUUGAAGCAGACCACUAAGGGAAGUGAUUUUCAUGAGUGUUUGUUGAUGCUACUAUGGAGUUGUCGCAUUUAUCAGUGGAGAGCCAGGAACUCCAAGCUGCAUUCGAUCUCUUCCUCUUGUUGAUGCUGUGAUUCAAACUGUGAGAUUCACAGUUGAGCACUGCUUCAAAGGAUGUAGGGACUCUCGAAGUAGAAUCACCUUUGAGUUGCAUCUGAGAUUUAUGUGCUGUGGAUAAGUGGUUCAGUGGACAAGAGCUCCCUUAUAUUGAUGGACCUCUAGAUCAGUGGGGUCCAUUAUGCAGCAGCUAUAGUUGAUGGUUUAGAUUUUAAAAGGGAGUGUGUAUGUUGGAUAUGUGGUGGCUCUGGUAUUUUCUGAUAGAAGAAUUUGAACUUUCUGCUUCUUGGCCCUUGAUGUAAUUGGUUCAUUUUAAUCAAUAGAC